UUGACCUCUGAUCAGGCAAGAUUACCC
rnacentral:rRNA from 1 species